CAAUAGCGUAUAUUAACGUUGUUGCAGUUAAAAAGCUCGUAGUUGGAUUUCUGGAGGGAGCGUCGGCCCGUAUUUACGAGUGCGUGACGUCUCUGUCCAUCCUUGCGGGAAGGCACGGCAUUGAUUUGUUGUGUCGGAUCGCAUCAUUUACUGUGAAAAAAUUAGAGUGUUCAAAGCAGGCUUUCGCUUGAAUACAUUAGCAUGGAAUAAUAAGAUAGGACUUUGGUGCUAUUUUGUUGGUUGAGACUAAAGUAAUGAUUAAUAGGGAUAGUUGGGGGCACCUGUAUUGCGUUGUCAGAGGUGAAAUUCUUGGAUUUACGCAAGACAAACAGCUGCGAAAGCGUCUGCCAAGGAUGUUUUCAUUAA
rnacentral:rRNA from 1 species